AAGUCGUAACAAGGUCUCCGUAGGUGAACCUGCGGAGGGAUCAUUCCAAGUACGGGGUGCCAGUGCAGUAAAAUGCGCUGGGCCCCACACACACACAAGCACCACAGUCUGACUAUACACUACACAGAAUCACGGCCUCAGGGCCACACCAACCAAAACAACUGUUAGCAACGGAUCACUCGGCUCUCGU
rnacentral:misc_RNA from 1 species